GGGCCGGAAGCGCAGUCGGAAGCGCAGCUCCCCUGCAAGGAGAAGGGUGCCAGCGGCUGGUCUCACCUCCGCUUCGCUUUCGAUUCGCUCGCCGCUCCGUUCGACUCUGGCCCGGUCCACCA
rnacentral:tRNA from 1 species